rnacentral:rRNA from 1 species
UUCGGGGAACGAUAACGGCGUCGAGCGGCGGACGGGUGAGUAAUGCCUAGGAAAUUGCCCUGAUGUGGGGGAUAACCAUUGGAAACGAUGGCUAAUACCGCAUGAUGCCUACGGGCCAAAGAGGGGGACCUUCGGGCCUCUCGCGUCAGGAUAUGCCUAGGUGGGAUUAGCUAGUUGGUGAGGUAAGGGCUCACCAAGGCGACGAUCCCUAGCUGGUCUGAGAGGAUGAUCAGCCACACUGGAACUGAGACACGGUCCAGACUCCUACGGGAGGCAGCAGUGGGGAAUAUUGCACAAUGGGCGCAAGCCUGAUGCAGCCAUGCCGCGUGUAUGAAGAAGGCCUUCGGGUUGUAAAGUACUUUCAGUCGUGAGGAAGGCGGCGUCGUUAAUAGCGGCGUUGUUUGACGUUAGCGACAGAAGAAGCACCGGCUAACUCCGUGCCAGCAGCCGCGGUAAUACGGAGGGUGCGAGCGUUAAUCGGAAUUACUGGGCGUAAAGCGCAUGCAGGUGGUUUGUUAAGUCAGAUGUGAAAGCCCGGGGCUCAACCUCGGAAUAGCAUUUGAAACUGGCAGACUAGAGUACUGUAGAGGGGGGUAGAAUUUCAGGUGUAGCGGUGAAAUGCGUAGAGAUCUGAAGGAAUACCGGUGGCG